rnacentral:rRNA from 1 species
GAGCAAUCUGUGUGACUGCGUACCUUUUGUAUAAUGGGUCAGCGACUUAUAUUCUGUAGCAAGGUUAACCGAAUAGGGGAGCCGAAGGGAAACCGAGUCUUAACUGGGCGUUAAGUUGCAGGGUAUAGACCCGAAACCCGGUGAUCUAGCCAUGGGCAGGUUGAAGGUUGGGUAACACUAACUGGAGGACCGAACCGACUAAUGUUGAAAAAUUAGCGGAUGACUUGUGGCUGGGGGUGAAAGGCCAAUCAAACCGGGAGAUAGCUGGUUCUCCCCGAAAGCUAUUUAGGUAGCGCCUCGUGAAUUCAUCUCCGGGGGUAGAGCACUGUUUCGGCAAGGGGGUCAUCCCGACUUACCAACCCGAUGCAAACUGCGAAUACCGGAGAAUGUUAUCACGGGAGACACACGGCGGGUGCUAACGUCCGUCGUGAAGAGGGAAACAACCCAGACCGCCAGCUAAGGUCCCAAAGUCAUGGUUAAGUGGGAAACGAUGUGGGAAGGCCCAGACAGCCAGGAUGUUGGCUUAGAAGCAGCCAUCAUUUAAAGAAAGCGUAAUAGCUCACUGGUCGAGUCGGCCUGCGCGGAAGAUGUAACGGGGCUAAACCAUGCACCGAAGCUGCGGCAGCGACGCUUAUGCGUUGUUGGGUAGGGGAGCGUUCUGUAAGCCUGUGAAGGUGUACUGUGAGGUAUGCUGGAGGUAUCAGAAGUGCGAAUGCUGACAUAAGUAACGAUAAAGCGGGUGAAAAGCCCGCUCGCCGGAAGACCAAGGGUUCCUGUCCAACGUUAAUCGGGGCAGGGUGAGUCGACCCCUAAGGCGAGGCCGAAAGGCGUAGUCGAUGGGAAACAGGUUAAUAUUCCUGUACUUGGUGUUACUGCGAAGGGGGGACGGAGAAGGCUAUGUUGGCCGGGCGACGGUUGUCCCGGUUUAAGCGUGUAGGCUGGUUUUCCAGGCAAAUCCGGAAAAUCAAGGCUGAGGCGUGAUGACGAGGCACUACGGUGCUGAAGCAACAAAUGCCCUGCUUCCAGGAAAAGCCUCUAAGCAUCAGGUAACAUCAAAUCGUACCCCAAACCGACACAGGUGGUCAGGUAGAGAAUACCAAGGCGCUUGAGAGAACUCGGGUGAAGGAACUAGGCAAAAUGGUGCCGUAACUUCGGGAGAAGGCACGCUGAUAUGUAGGUGAAGUCCCUCGCGGAUGGAGCUGAAAUCAGUCGAAGAUACCAGCUGGCUGCAACUGUUUAUUAAAAACACAGCACUGUGCAAACACGAAAGUGGACGUAUACGGUGUGACGCCUGCCCGGUGC